AGUUUCCCUCCUGCAGCGUCCGGAGGUGCUGCUCUGGGUACCUUCUCAAGUCCCUUCGACCCAGCCCGCCCCGCAGCCUGAUUUUCUGAGACCUCGUCCCGGGACUCACGGAGCUCGUGUCCGGCAACUGCUGUGUCCUCCUCUCCAAGACCCUCCCGCUUCGGGAUCCGGGACAGGCUCCUCCAAGGCAGGGCGGCCGCGCCCCACAGGUCUUCCCUGAGACCCUUGGCGGCCGCAGCAGCCCGGAGCAGCAGCCCCCCUGCCGUGGCCCCUUGGCCCCGGGCGCGCCCGGCGGGGUCCAUAGUCUCCUCCGCGGGCCCUGAGCGCAGGGCCAGACCCAGACUCGGACCCAGAUCCAGACCCAGACUCGGACACAGAUCCAGACCCAGGCAGGCCCAGGGCGCGGGGGCUGGACGCAGGCAGGUCAGCCCGGCCGGAGCGCAGGAUCGAGUCCGCUCUCUGUUGUGGCGGUUCGCUGGGCAACAAGCCCCUAGUUUCCAGCCCUGCCCUGACUUGGGCUGGCCUGGGAUAAUCCGCCCUCAGGUGUGGCGUGCACAGUGCUAAGGUUUGGUUCUCUGGAAAAUAAAACAUCCAGCGACCAUCGAGAACGGGCCAUGAUGACAAUGGCGGUUUUGUCGAAUAGAAAAGGGGGAAAUGUGGGGAAAAGAGAGAGAGAUCAGAUUGUUACCGUGUCUGUGUAGAAAGAAGUAGAAAUAGGAGACUCCAUAUUGUUCUGUACUAAGAAAAAUUCUUCCGCCUUGGGAUGCUGUUAAUCUAUAACCUUACCCCCAACCCCGUUCUCUCUGCAACAUGUGCUGUGUCAACUCAGGGUUAAGUGGAUUAAGGGCGCUGCAAGAUGUGCUUUGUUAAACAGAUGCUUGAAGGCAGCAUGCUCGUUAAGUCAUCACCACUCCCUAAUCUCAAGUACCCAGGGACACAAACACUGCGGAAGGCCGCAGGGACCUCUGCCUAGGAAAACCAGAGACCUUUGUUCACGUGUUUAUCUGCUGAUCUUCUCUCCACUAUUAUCCUAUGACCCUGCCACAUCCCCCUCUCCGAGAAACACCCAAGAAUGAUCAAUAAAUACUAAAAAAAAAAAAAAAAAGAAUAAGCAGAGAAAUUGGGGAGGGUAUUCAAAGCUGAACAACUAAUGGUCCAAGGAUAUCACUAUCACUAUCAUUAACACAUGCUUUAGUCACCAGGAACUGCCAAUUUUACUUCUCAAAUCUCUUAAUUACAUCUGCUUCUCCAUUUUUAUUUCCAUUGCCAUCAUUGCUUGUCACUGAAUUUAUUGUAAUAACUUCUUCAUAAGAAUUUAUUGUAAUACCUUCUUCAUAAGAAUUUGUUGUUAGAUGGAUUUAUUGUCUGUUGCUACAUUUCAGGCACAGAAUUAAGCACCUUUUGCACAGCCUCACUUAAUUCUGAGGUAUGGUGUAUUCUAUUAUUAGCCCCGUUUGAUAGAAAAGGAUUCUGAGGCUUGAAGACGUUGGUGGAAGAAACAGAACUUGCCCCUAACGAGCAUGACUUCUAAGAAUGUGUUGUCAAGGGCGUGACUCACUCACCUUGCUCUACAGCAGGGGGUCACUUUGCUCCAUCCCCAGGCCAAAUCCCGCUGCUGCCUGUUAUUGUAAAUAAAAUUUGUUUUAACACAUUAAAAAAAAAAAUUCCUGCAAAAUCUACAAGCCCCAAUGAACUCCCAGCUCUACUCUACCACUUCUUUGUAUAAUUUUGAGAAAUGUCAAGGUUGAAUUUAUAACUAACACUAUAGGAACUUCAAUAUUAAAUCAUUUCUAAAUGGGCUUCCAACAUUUUCUUUUGAAUAAAGUAAGACUUGAUUUCUCAUUUGAAGACCAUGAAUUUUAAUCUUUCCUGGCGGAUUCUUUUGAAAAGUGAAAUAAUACAGAAGCAAGUCAAAUUCUGACCCCCCAAAUAAACUUCAAAUAAGAAAGGUAAUCAGGUUUUCAUUUAUUUAUUCUUCUUACAAAUUUACAAAAGAUGUAUCAUUUUAAUGUAAAUUAUGUAAUAUCAAUGUUCAUUUCAAACUUGUCAGUUUUUCCCUUCAAAUUAUUGUGCACCAAAUUUGAGGCAUUAAAUUCAAAACAAUGUUUCCUAAUCAAUGAAAAAACAAACAUGACAAAAUAUUAUUUAUUUUAUCAGAACACCGCCCAUAACCUCAAACUUUCCUCUUUUAAAAAAGGGAAAUGGGCCUAAUGUUUGUAAUAGAGAUAUGAUAAAAACAAUAGCAGGUAAGUUGAAUUGAGUAUUAUGCAGAAAUAUCAGACAAUGUACUAAUAUGGAAAGUAUAAUAUGUAAAUGGAAAAACAGGGCACCAAAUUAUAUGUAUAUGUAGCAUGUUUACAAGUAAAAUUCUAAAAAUCAAAAGAAAAUACCCACACAAAAGAAGGAAUAAUAGUGAAAACAGCAGCAGAUCAAUGGAAAGCAUACAGCCAAGUACAGAAAAAUCUCCCAGUCUGGGUAACAAAGUGAGACCCCCUCUCUACAAAAAUUAGCCAGGCAUGGUGGUGCAUGCCUGUAGUCCCAGCUACUUGGGAGGCUGAGGUGGGAGGAUGGCUUCAGCCUGGGAGGCAGAGGUUGCAAUGAGCCAAGAUUGUGCCACUGUGUGCCAGUCUGCGUGAUAGAGCCAGACCCUAUCUCAAAAAAAAAAUUUUUUUUUAAUAUAAAUAAAAAAUAAUUUUAAAAAAAGAUCUGAAUUGUGUUAUCCAAGUUUGAAACUGCUUUCAAAUUCUAAACCAAGAAAUUUACUUUUAAAAAAAUCCUCUUAUCAAUGACAGGAGAAAAUGCAUCAUCAUUUUAUGCUAUAUAGCCUUAUAAUAGUAUGUGGUACUUAUCUUACUCUAACAGAUGAGACAAAAACUCCAAAGCAGUGCAUUAUGUGAAACUUAGCCAUAGCUGGACUUUAUUUCCCUGACAGCUUGGGCUAAAUAAGAAGCUAUGAAGUAUACUGUGGGAGGUAUUUUCUUUUUCACUCUGUUUCAAAUAUCAGGUUAGUUCUCAAGCAGAAUAUUAAUUCUAAGCGUGCUAAUACAUAAAAGCUUGCCCACAUGAUCUGGCCCUACUCAUCUCUCUGAUCUUGGGCCCUACAAUUCUUCUCCAUUCUUCAUCCACUGUUUCCUGGUGGAGAGCCAUCAGCUUCUAUUUCCUCCCUUUGCCUAGAACUUCUCUCCCCCACCUCCACUUCCGAAUUUUUAAAAUAGUUUUGAUCCUUCGUAUCAUUAAGGUUUCAGGUUAAAUGUCACUUCCUCAGAGGAGCCUUCUCGGAUCAUCUUAUUCUAAAAGUGUCCCCUACCUUCAUGUUCCAUUCCCUUAUGCUGUUGUCUCUUUCCUUUGUAACACUUACCACUGAAAUGUCUAUUUGUUUAGUGUCGGUUUCCACAACUAGAAUGUAAACUUCAUAAAUACAGUGAUUUUUAAAACUUUGUUGGGCCAGGCGUGGUGUCUCAUGCCUAUAAUCCCAGCAAUUUGAGAGGCCGAAGUGGGAGGAUGGCUUGAGGCCAGGAGUUUGAGGCCAACCUGGGCAACUUAGUGAGACUCCAGUCUCCACAAAAAAUUUAAAAAUUAGCUGGUGGUGGUGGGGCAGACCUGUAGUCUUAGCUACUUGGGAAGCUGAGAUGGGAGUAUGGCCUGAGCCACGGAGGUCAAGGCUGCAGCAAGCUGUUAUCAUGUCACUGCAUUCCAACCUGGGUGACAGAGCAAGACUCUGUCUCAAAAAAAAAAAAAAUUAAUUAAGUUUCUUACUGCAUCUCCAGUGGCUAAAACAGUACCCGACCUGCAAUAAGUAUUUGUCAAAUAAAUAUGGAAUGCAAUUUAGCCAUGGGAACAGUAACUUGUCUUUGAGUCCUGAAAGCUUUAAGUUUUUCCCCUAAAGGUCUAGACUAAAAAAAUAUGUUCAAUUCUGAAGUAAACCUUUAAAACCAGGUCCUGUUCAAGGAUUCCAUAUUUUUAAAAACAUCUUCCUAGAUUUCUCUUUGCCCUCCUCUACCAGACGAUUUCUCCCUAGACUCCCACUUUGUAUAUUCAUCUAUUAUAGCCCUCCCUACAUUGAAUAGAAACUGUCCCUGGGGUGGCUCUCCAUUUUUUGAGGACAAACAUGUCUUAAUAAUCUUUAUGUCCUUUAUCAGCUAGGAUUCAGCUAUAAUUAAUAGGAAAACCCAAGUAACUAUGGC
rnacentral:lncRNA from 1 species